AAGUAUCUGUCAAUUUAUGUAAAAUGUUUAACCGAAUAGAUUUGAAUCUCAUAUUGAUCCACAACAUUAAUAUUCAGAAUGUUUGUGUAGCCACUCCUAAUAUAUAAUUUUAACAACCACCGCCUUAAUUCAGUUUCGCGCGCAAAAAUCAUGUGACCAUUGUAAGCCAAAUAUUGCAAGUUUCAUAUUUAAAAUGUUAUAAAAUGAAAUACUGUAUGGGCAAAUUAGAUAAAAUUGAUUGUACUAUUGAUUAGAUAAAAAAAAAAGAAGUAAGAAAUUAGAUUUUUUUUUCUUAAUGACGCCAGAAGAGUCUUUCUGUAGCACCGCCAUUUUCUCACUUUAACGUUGUGAUGUUCUUGCUGGAGUUUCUCCUCAAAUACCUGCGUCGGUUAUCUUUCAAAUUUGUUUUGGCAGACAGUACAAACCAGCUCUUCAUCGUGUUAAUUGAGCCGUGGACCUUCAUCUUAGUCAGUUUAAGAAUUACACCUGAUCUUCCUGUUUCUGUCCUGACUAAGAGGAUCCAGUACACUUGAUCGAAUUACACCUGAUCUUCCUGUUUCUGUCCUGACUAAGAGGAUCCAGUAGACUCGAUAGAAUUACACCUGAUCUUCCUGUUUCUGUCCUGACUAAGAGGAUCCAGUAGACUCGAUAGAAUUACACCUGAUCUUCCUGUUUCUGUCCUGACUAAGAGGAUCCAGUAGACUCGAUAGGAAACCGACAUUGAAGACCAUGUGACGGCAGGAAUGGAUGUGGGCAUUCUCAUAAUUCCUGAUGGAGAUGAUGCCCUUGACUACUACGUGGUGCUGGAGGAACAGAUUGCCCUGAGAGAUGCCAUAGACCUCCCUCAUGCUGCCGCUCUACUAGUCGGGCUGAUUUUUGCGCUUAAUAUUGAUUAUCCCAAAAAACUACGCUACACAUUUGAGGUCAUUCAAAAGAUUUUCAUUGACCUUGGAGGUGAUCAGUGUUCUGGUGCAUGGACUGAAAAAUAGACUACUUCGCAAAACUGUGUAGUGUCCUAACUGAAAGGUAUAUGAUGUGUGCCUUUUUGUUCAUGAUUUAGCCUGGUGAAUUUCUGGUUGUUUUAAAACGAUGAAUGUUCAAUUCUUGACGUGGUACUUUAUGCAGUGCUAAUAUAUGUAACUCAAUAUAAAAAUAUCUUGUUUGAUUUUUAGACACUUGUUUUCUGUUUAUACAGUGUUAUUGUUAAUGUACAUUAAGUCAAGUCACCUUUAUUUAUAUAGCGCUUUUAACAAUACAGAUUGUGUCAAAGCACUUAACAGUAUCAAAUUGGAGGAUAGAGUGUCAGUAAUGUAUAAGAUUAAACACUCAAUUUUCAGUUAAAGUCAUUUCAUUAUUGAGUUCAGAGAUGUCAUUGUGUAGCUCAGUUUAGUUUAAAUAGUAUCUGUGCAAUGAAAUCGGCAAUAAUCGCUAGAAAUUAAGUGUCCCCAACUGAGCAAGCCAGAGGCGUUACUUUAUGUUUGUACAGUAUUGUUCAUGCAGUGCAUUUGUUUUAUGCAGUACAGCACUGUAUGCUUUAUUCAGUAUUGUUCAUGCAGAACAUUACUCUGUAUUUUAUGCUGUUUUGUUUAUGCAGUACAUUACUGUAUGUUUAAAGUAUCAGUUAAUGAACUGGUUUUAGUGGAAAAAUAAAAUCCAGAUGAUUUAUGCUCAGUUAAGACAAGUUGUCAUUUUAGUUAAGACAACUUAACAAUUUAAGUUCACAAAACUUAAAUGUUUAUUGUACUUGUUUUAUAAAGUCCUAUCAACUUCAUUCUUAGUUGAGACAACUUCACAAUUUAAGUUCACAAAACUUAAAUGAUGUUUAUUGCACUUGUUUUUGUAAGUCCUGUCAACUUUAUUGUCAGUUAAGACAACUUCACAAUUUAAGUUCACAUAACUUGACAUUUUAAGGCAGCACGAACACUUACUUUUUUAAGUUGAAACAACAAAAUUUUUUACAGUGUAUAGUGUUUUUGAAAUAUUCAUGAAGUAAGUCGUAGUCAGACACAUUUGAUGAUUCUUUAUAUUUAUAUUUUUUAUCAUGUUUGUCACCUUUUUAUUUUGCUGGCAGAUUUACUAACCACUUGCACCAGCACAAAACUCUUUUGGCAAUAAAAACAGGAUUUGCUAAAGAUACGCAAUGAAAAGGCGUGGACAGUUAUUUUUGCGAUUUUUGUGUACUAUUUCAAUACUGUUUGAGACUAAAUUGGCCCACUUUCUAUUAUAUAAGUUUACUUUAAGUAUAACAGUAAACUUUGAGUACACAACUAGUUUACAUCAAUGUUUUUAGCUUGUACUGCAACUAUACUAAAAGUGAACAUGUAUACUGAUAGUUUACAUUUACAUUUUACAUUUAAUCGUUUAGCAGACGCUUUUAUCCAAAACGACUUACAAUAUGAGAACAGUAGAAGCAAUGAGACCAUCGAGAGUGCAGCAGUAUACAAGUGCCAUGAAAAGUUUCAGUUAGCCCAGCACAGUACACGUAGCUAGGGUUUUUUUUUUUUUUUUUAAAUAG